rnacentral:lncRNA from 1 species
CUCUGAUUCCCCUGGGCGCCAAGCUCCAGGAGCCAGAAGCGAGGGCAGGGCUGCAAACUGUGGUCUCUGAACUCCCGCUGGGAAAGGCGGUUACACAGAGCAUCGCGUGCAGACACAUGUAGAUGAGCGCCCCCCCCCCCCGCAGGCGGUCACCCCCUGUCCAGGUGAGAAGCCCUGUCCCUGUUGGAGAACCUGUUGUCCUUCAGCAGCGGGAGGGACCCCGGGGCACCCACCGCAUGCAGGGUCUCUGCGAGGGGGAUGCUGCUUUCAGAGGAUUUAAUCCCGAUGGGAAGACAGGAACAGGCAAAGGGGUGCACGGGUCAACGAUGACGGCCCCGUGCUGCAGAAUAAAGGGUGACAUCCAGGCGCCACGUCCAGAGGUCACUACUGUAAAGCAAGCUGGGUCCUUCCCUCCUUCAUUCACUGUUUGUUUGUUUUGCAGCAACGCUUUGCUCCGUGCCCAUCAAGAGUGGGCGCUGCUCUGGACCCCCCCCCCCAAUCCAGCAGGGAAACAGCCGCACGACAAGGGGUGUCAGGUUGACGGUGUUUUGAAGCAAUGAGGCGAGCCGGGUUAGGGGGACGAGGCGAGGGGCGGGUGGAUUACAGAAUUCAAAAGAUGGUCCUCGUGAAGGCAGCGAAGCCAGGCAGCGAGGCGGGAGCCGCGAAGAAAACCUGGGGGACAAGGGUCCUGGGUGAUGCUCUGGGAACUGCGAGGGGGCCUGAGGCUCCAGCGAGACAUUCAAAAUAUCGGAGCCUCUCACAUCAUAUCUGACACCCCUAGUCCCAUCCAUCCCAGAGACUUCUUGCAAUUCAAGCUGUAUGUUUUUAUCAUUCCAUCUUUCCCGGAGCUGAGACGGUUUCUUCUUUUUGCAUCUUAUAGGUUUACGGUCGCAAUAAAAAAUUCUGGUCAGCCCGCUGAUCGAAAACGUAACUACAAAGGGAAUCGUCUGUUUUAUUUGUGUGUUAUCAGAAGGGGUAGACUGGGGGCGCCUGGGUGGCGCAGUCGGUUAAGCGUCCGACUUCAGCCAGGUCACGAUCUCGCGGUCCGUGAGUUCGAGCCCCGCGUCGGGCUCUGGGCUGAUGGCUCAGAGCCUGGAGCCUGUUUCCGAUUCUAUGUCUCCCUCUCUCUCUGCCCCUCCCGCGUUCAUGCUCUGUCUCUCUCUGUCCCAAAAAUAAAUAAACGUUGAAAAAAAAAAUUAAAAAAAAAAAAAAGAAGAAGGGGUAGACUGGAUUCCCAACAACCCCACACAGCUUGUGAAUAGUACCCGAGUGUCAUGCUUGAGGAUUGCCUAACUCACGAGUGUGAGACCCCUUUGCAGCCAGCGUGGA